GGAUGAACGCUAGCGACAGGCCUAACACAUGCAAGUCGAGGGGCAUCGGGACGUAGCAAUACGUUGCCGGCGACCGGCGGAUGGGUGAGUAACGCGUAUGCAACCUACCCGUAGCAGGGGGAUAGCCCGUUGAAAGACGGAUUAAUACCCCGUAACACAGGGGCUCCGCAUGGAGAUUAUUGUUAAAGGGUCAUUUCUUUUAGAGGUGGUCCGGCUACGGAUGGGCAUGCGUUCCAUUAGGUAGUUGGUGUAGGUAACGGCUCACCAAGCCGACGAUGGAUAGGGGAACUGAGAGGUUGGUCCCCCACACUGGUACUGAGACACGGACCAGACUCCUACGGGAGGCAGCAGUGAGGAAUCUUGGUCAAUGGACGCAAGUCUGAACCAGCCAUGUCGCGUGAAGGAGGACGGCCCUAAGGGUUGUAAACUUCUUUUGCAGCGGAAUAAAGUUUGCCACGAGUUGGCGAUUUGCAAGUACGCUGCGAAUAAGGAUCGGCUAACUCCGUGCCAGCAGCCGCGGUAAUACGGAGGAUCCGGGCGUUAUCCGGAUUUAUUGGGUUUAAAGGGUGCGCAGGCGGGGAUUUAGGUCGGCGGUGAAAUUUCGGGGCUCAACCUCGACAGUGCCGUUGAAACCGUUUCUCUUGAGUGCGGAUGAGGUAGGCGGAAUUUGUGGUGUAGCGGUGAAAUGCGUAGAUAUCACAAGGAACACCGAUUGCGGUGGCAGCUUACUAAACCGUUACUGACGCUCAUGCACGAAGGCGUGGGGAUCAAACAGGAUUAGAUACCCUGGUAGUCCACGCAGUAAACGAUGAUUACUUGCUGUUUGCGAUACACAGUAAGCGGCGUAGCGAAAGCGUUAAGUAAUCCACCUGGGGAGUACGUUCGCAAGAAUG
rnacentral:rRNA from 1 species